rnacentral:misc_RNA from 1 species
UUUCCGUAGGUGAACCUGCGGAAGGAUCAUUAACGAGUACGGGUCUUCAAAGCCCGACCUCCCACCCUUAUGCUUAUUGAACCUCUGUUGCUCCGGCGGGCCGGUCCCACGGCCGACGGGGGAGUCGCCGCGCGGCCCCCUCUGGCCAGCGUCCGCUGAUGGCCAAACUCAAAAAACUGACUGAAACGUGUCACGAUGCCUCAGCCUAUGAUAAAAUUAAAGCAAAACUUAAAACAACGGAUCUCUUGGUUCUGGCCUCGAUGAAGAACGCAGCAGAUC